rnacentral:lncRNA from 1 species
UUGAUAGUCCAGGUGGUUAAGGGGCUGAGUCAUUAUAGCCUUGACUUUGGGUGUCUUCUUUCAGAUAAAUGGCAACACUUAGAGAAGAGAAGGAAAAGAAAAGAAAAAAUAAAGAAAUGUGCCUUUUUCUGGCAGCUGAAUGGGAUACUGGCAGUGACUUCUUCUAUUGAUCUGGGUGCUUUUAUUUGUUACGUCUGGACAAAACAUGGUUGCCCAGGCACAUUCUGUUUUACCUGUCACCAUGGGUACAAUGAAACCAGCAUCAACAUGGAGCACCAAAUAUCCCUGAAACCUACCCUGAUGGAACCCUUGCUGCCUGAUCUAUGAGGAUCUCCUGAGUCACAGACUUUAUUCUUUCUCACCUUAACUUAAGACUUGCAAUGAAGAGACAGUGAGCCCAAAGAAACUAAGUCUUUCAUUUAACACCCAAGACUACAGAAUAAACAGAAGGUUCUUCAGGCUAUUAAACUACUC